GGGAAAGUGGCUCAGUGGUAGAGCACUUGCCUUGCAUGCAUGAGGCCCUGGGUUUGAUUCCUCAGCACCACCU
rfam:Dipodomys ordii contig_8018, whole genome shotgun sequence.